GGUAACAGGAAGAAGCUUGCUUCUUUGCUGACGAGUGGCGGACGGGUGAGUAAUGUCUGGGAAACUGCCUGAUGGAGGGGGAUAACUACUGGAAACGGUAGCUAAUACCGCAUAACGUCGCAAGACCAAAGAGGGGACCUUCGGGCCUCUUGCCAUCGGAUGUGCUCAGAUGGGAUUAGCUAGUAGCUGGGCUAACGGCUCACCUAGGCGACGAUCCCUAGCUGGUCUGAGAGGAUGACCAGCCACACUGGAACUGAGACACGGUCCAGACUCCUACGGGAGGCAGCAGUGGGGAAUAUUGCACAAUGGGCGCAAGCCUGAUGCAGCCAUGCCGCGUGUAUGAAGAAGGCCUUCGGGUUGUAAAGUACUUUCAGCGGGGAGGAAGGGAGUAAAGUUAAUACCUUUGCUCAUUGACGUUACCCGCAGAAGAAGCACCGGCUAACUCCGUGCCAGCAGCCGCGGUAAUACGGAGGGUGCAAGCGUUAAUCGGAAUUACUGGGCGUAAAGCGCACGCAGGCGGUUUGUUAAGUCAGAUGUGAAAUCCCCGGGCUCAACCUGGGAACUGCAUCUGAUACUGGCAAGCUUGAGUCUCGUAGAGGGGGGUAGAAUUCCAGGUGUAGCGGUGAAAUGCGUAGAGAUCUGGAGGAAUACCGGUG
rnacentral:rRNA from 1 species